rnacentral:lncRNA from 1 species
AACGGAGGAACGGUGUACUCAAAAGGUGUCUAAAUUGGAAAGGAGAGAAUUAAGAAACCAGCAGACAAGACGGAUGUUGGUGGAAGUCAAAGCAACCGCGGGAAGCAUGUCAGCGGAAAUCAAAGCAACAGAGGAACGGUGUACUCAAAAAGUGUCUGAAUUAGAGAGAAAAUUAGAAGAUUUAAUAAACUUGCAGACAAAAAGGUGAAUCAUAAGUAUUUUCAUAUAUGUAUGUAUAAUUUAUGAUAAGUUGUAGAAAACCUUAUUUCAAAGGUUGGUAUAGUUCAAAUUUUAAUCUGAUUUUGUUAAUUACAUACAUUUUCUAAAUCUAAUUUGUGAG